rnacentral:rRNA from 1 species
GACGAACGCUGGUGGCGUGCUUAACACAUGCAAGUCGAACGGAAAGGCCCUGCUUUUGUGGGGUGCUCGAGUGGCGAACGGGUGAGUAACACGUGAGUAACCUGCCCUUGACUUUGGGAUAACUUCAGGAAACUGGGGCUAAUACCGGAUAGGAGCUCCUGCUGCAUGGUGGGGGUUGGAAAGUUUCGGCGGUUGGGGAUGGACUCGCGGCUUAUCAGCUUGUUGGUGGGGUAGUGGCUUACCAAGGCUUUGACGGGUAGCCGGCCUGAGAGGGUGACCGGCCACAUUGGGACUGAGAUACGGCCCAGACUCCUACGGGAGGCAGCAGUGGGGAAUAUUGCACAAUGGGCGGAAGCCUGAUGCAGCAACGCCGCGUGCGGGAUGACGGCCUUCGGGUUGUAAACCGCUUUCGCCUGUGACGAAGCGUGAGUGACGGUAAUGGGUAAAGAAGCACCGGCUAACUACGUGCCAGCAGCCGCGGUGAUACGUAGGGUGCGAGCGUUGUCCGGAUUUAUUGGGCGUAAGGGGCUCGUAGGUGGUUGAUCGCGUCGGAAGUGUAAUCUUGGGGCUUAACCCUGAGCGUGCUUUCGAUACGGGUUGACUUGAGGAAGGUAGGGGAGAAUGGAAUUCCUGGUGGAGCGGUGGAAUGCGCAGAUAUCAGGAGGAACACCAGUGGCGAAGGCGGUUCUCUGGGCCUUUCCUGACGCUGAGGAGCGAAAGCGUGGGGAGCGAACAGGCUUAGAUACCCUGGUAGUCCACGCUGUAAACGGUGGGUACUAGGUGUGGGGUCCAUUCCACGGGUUCCGUGCCGUAGCUAACGCUUUAAGUACCCCGCCUGGGGAGUACGGCCGCAAGGCUAAAACUCAAAGGAAUUGACGGGGCCCCGCACAAGCGGCGGAGCAUGCGGAUUAAUUCGAUGCAACGCGUAGAACCUUACCUGGGUUUGACAUGGAUCGGGAGUGCUCAGAGAUGGGUGUGCCUCUUUUGGGGUCGGUUCACAGGUGGUGCAUGGCUGUCGUCAGCUCGUGUCGUGAGAUGUUGGGUUAAGUCCCGCAACGAGCGCAACCCUUGUUCACUGUUGCCAGCACGUUAUGGUGGGGACUCAGUGGAGACCGCCGGGGUCAACUCGGAGGAAGGUGGGGAUGACGUCAAGUCAUCAUGCCCCUUAUGUCCAGGGCUUCACGCAUGCUACAAUGGCUGGUACAGAGAGUGGCGAGCCUGUGAGGGUGAGCGAAUCUCGGAAAGCCGGUCUCAGUUCGGAUUGGGGUCUGCAACUCGACCUCAUGAAGUCGGAGUCGCUAGUAAUCGCAGAUCAGCAACGCUGCGAUGAAUACGUUCCCGGGGCU